rnacentral:rRNA from 1 species
AUUGAACGCUGGCGGCAGGCCUAACACAUGCAAGUCGAACGAGUGGCGGACGGGUGAGUAAUGUCUGGGACACUGCCUGAUGGAGGGGGAUAACUACUGGAAACGGUAGCUAAUACCGCAUACCAUCAGAUGUGCCCAGAUGGGAUUCGCUGGUUGGUGGGGAAAUGGCUCACCAAGGCGACGAUCCCUAGCUGGUCUGAGAGGAUGAACAGCCUAACUGGAACUGAGACACGGUCCAGACUACGACGGGAGGCAGCAGGGGUGAAUAUUGCACAAUGGGCGCAAGCCUGAUGCAGCCAUGCGGCGUGUAUGAAGAAGGCCUUCGGGUGGUAAAGUACUUUCAGCGGGGAGGCGUUACCCGCAGAAGAAGCACCGGCUAACUCCGUGCCAGCAGCCGCGGUAAUA